CCAGACUCCUACGGGAGGCAGCAGUGGGGGAUAUUGCACAAUGGGGGGAACCCUGAUGCAGCGACGCCGCGUGGGUGAAGGAGCGCCUCGGCGCGUAAAGCCCUGUCAGCAGGGAAGAAAAUGACGGUACCUGAAGAAGAAGCCCCGGCUAACUACGUGCCAGCAGCCGCGGUAAUACGUAGGGGGCAAGCGUUAUCCGGAUUUACUGGGUGUAAAGGGAGCGUAGACGGCAUGGCAAGUCAGAUGUGAAAGUCCGGGGCUCAACCCCGGGACUGCAUUUGAAACUGUCAGGCUGGAGUGCAGGAGAGGUGAGUGGAAUUCCUAGUGUAGCGGUGAAAUGCGUAGAUAUAUGGAGGAACACCGGUGGCGAAAGCGGCUCUCUGGCCUGUAACUGACACUGAGGCUCGAAAGCGUGGGGAGCAAACAGGAUUAGAUACCCCCGUA
rnacentral:rRNA from 1 species